rnacentral:rRNA from 1 species
AGUGAACGCUGGCGGUAGGCCUAACACAUGCAAGUCGAACGGCAGCACAGUAAGAGCUUGCUCUUACGGGUGGCGAGUGGCGGACGGGUGAGGAAUACAUCGGAAUCUACUUUUUCGUGGGGGAUAACGUAGGGAAACUUACGCUAAUACCGCAUACGACCUACGGGCGAAAGCAGGGGAUCUUCGGACCUUGCGCGAUUGAAUGAGCCGAUGUCGGAUUAGCUAGUUGGCGGGGUAAAGGCCCACCAAGGCGACGAUCCGUAGCUGGUCUGAGAGGAUGAUCAGCCACACUGGAACUGAGACACGGACCAGACUCCUACGGGAGGCAGCAGUGGGGAAUAUUGGACAAUGGGGGCAAGCCUGAUCCAGCCAUACCGCGUGGGUGAAGAAGGCCUUCGGGUUGUAAAGCCCUUUUGUUGGGAAAGAAAAGCAGCAGGUUAAUACCCCGCUGUUCUGACGGUACCCAAAGAAUAAGCACCGGCUAACUUCGUG